rnacentral:rRNA from 1 species
AGCAGCCGCGGUAAUUCCAGCUCCAAUAGCGUAUAUUAAAGUUGUUGCAGUUAAAAAGCUCGUAGUUGAAUUUCGGGGUUAGUAGGUUGGUCAUGCCUCUGGUAUGUACUGGUCUCACUGAUUCCUCCUUCCUGAUGAACCUUAAUGCCAUUAAUUUGGUGUUUUGGGGAAUUUGGACUGUUACUUUGAAAAAAUUAGAGUGUUUAAAGCAAGCUAACGCUUGAAUACAUUAGCAUGGAAUAAUGAAAUAGGACGUUCGAUCCUAUUUUGUUGGUUUCUAGGAUUGACGUAAUGAUUAAUAGGGAUAGUUGGGGGCAUUAGUAUUCAAUUGUCAGAGGUGAAAUUCUUGGAUUUAUUGAAGACUAACUACUGCGAAAGCAUUUGCCAAGGAUGUUUUCAUUAAUCAAGAAUGAAAGUUAGGGGAUCGAAGACGAUCAGAUACCGUCGUAGUCUUAACCAUAAACUAUGCCGACUAGGGAUCGGAUGAUGUAAUUUUUAAUGACUCAUUCGGCGCCUUACG